AGUGAACGCUGGCGGUAGGCCUAACACAUGCAAGUCGAACGGCAGCACAGUAAGAGCUUGCUCUUACGGGUGGCGAGUGGCGGACGGGUGAGGAAUACAUCGGAAUCUACUUUUUCGUGGGGGAUAACGUAGGGAAACUUACGCUACUACCGCAUACGACCUACGGGUGAAAGCAGGGGAUCUUCGGACCCUGCGCGAUUGAAUGAGCCGAUGCCGGAUUAGCUAGUUGGCGGGGUAAAGGCCCACCAAGGCGACGAUCCGUAGCUGGUCGGAGAGGAUGUUCAGCCACACGGAAACUGAGACACGGUCCAGACCCCUAGGGAGGGCAGCGGUGGGAAAUUUCGGAAAAGGGGGGCAAGCCUGAGCCAGCCAUACCGCGUGGUUGAAGAGGGCCUUCGGGUUGUAAAGCCCUUUUGUUGGGAAAGAAAAGCAGCAGGUUAAUACCCCGCUGUUCGGACGGUACCCAAAAGAUAGGCACGGGCUAACUUGGU
rnacentral:rRNA from 1 species